rnacentral:rRNA from 1 species
AUAGAACGCUAGCGGCAGGCCUAACACAUGCAAGUCGAGGGGUAACAUAGAAAAGCUUGCUUUUCUGAUGACGACCGGCGCACGGGUGCGUAACGCUAUACAACCUACCUUUUAGCGGGGAAUAGCCCAGGGAAACUUGGAUUUAAUGCCUCAUAGUAUAUAAGCUUCUCCUGAAGUUUUAUAUUAAACAUUUAUGGCUAUUAGAUGGGUAUGCGUCCUAUUAGUUAGUUGGUAAGGUAACGGCUUACCAAGGCAGCGAUAGGUAGGGGUCCUGAGAGGGAGAUCCCCACACUGGUACUGAGACACGGACCAGACUCCUACGGGAGGCAGCAGUGAGGAAUAUUGGACAAUGGGCGAGAGCCUGAUCCAGCCAUGCCGCGUGCAGGAAGACUGCCCUAUGGGUUGUAAACUGCUUUUACAGAGGAAGAACCACCCCCACGUGUGGGGGUUUGACGGUACUCUGCGAAUAAGGAUCGGCUAACUCCGUG